AUUGAACGCUGGCGGCAGGCCUAACACAUGCAAGUCGAACGAGUGGCGGACGGGUGAGUAAUGUCUGGGAAACUGCCUGCUGGCGGGGGAUAAAUACUGGAAACGGUAGCUAAUACCGCAUACCAUUGGAUGUGCCCAGAUGGGAUUGGCUAGUAGGUGGGGGACCGGCUCACCUAGGCCACGAUCCCUAGCUGGUCUGAGAGGAUGACCAGCCACACUGGAACUGAGCCACGGUCCAGACUCCUACGGGAGGCAGCAGUGGGGAAUAUUGCACAAUGGGCGCAAGCCUGAUGCAGCCAUGCCGCGUGUAUGAAGAAGGCCUUCGGGUUGUAAAGUACUUUCAGCGGGGAGGCGUUACCCGCAGAAGAAGCACCGGCUAACUCCGUGCCAGCAGCCGCGGUAAUAC
rnacentral:rRNA from 1 species